rnacentral:rRNA from 1 species
AUUGAACGCUGGCGGCAGGCCUAACACAUGCAAGUCGAGCGAGCGGCGGACGGGCGAGUAAUGUAUGGGGACUGCCCGAUAGAGGGGGAUAACUACUGGAAACGGUAGCUAAUACCGCAUACUAUCGGAUAACCCAUAUGGGAUUAGCUAGUAGGUGAGGUAAUGGCUCACCUAGGCGACGAUCCCUAGCUGGUCUGAGAGGAUGAUCAGCCACCCUGGGACUGAGCCACGGCCCAGACUCCUACGGAGGCAGCAGUGGGGAAUAUUGCACAGUGGGCGCAAGCCUUAUGCAGCCAUGCCGCGUGUAUGAAGAAGGCCCUAGGGUUUUAAAGUACUUUCAGUCGGGAAGCGUUACCGACAGAAGAAGCACCGGCUAACUCCGUGCCAGCAGCCGCGGUAAUAC